AUUGAACGCUGGCGGCAUGCCUUACACAUGCAAGUCGAACGGUAACAGGUCUUCGGAUGCUGACGAGUGGCGAACGGGUGAGUAAUACAUCGGAACGUGCCCAGUCGUGGGGGAUAACGAAGCGAAAGCUUUGCUAAUACCGCACACGAUCUACGGAUGAAAGCGGGGGAUCGCAAGACCUCGCGCGAUUGGAGCGGCCGAUGGCAGAUUAGGGAGUUGGUGGGGUGAAGGCUUACCAAGCCUACGAUCUGGAGCGGGUCUGAGAGGACGACCAGCCACACGGGGACUGAGACACGGCCCAGACUCCUACGGGAGCCAGCAGUGGGGAAUUUUGGACAAUGGGCGCAAGCCUGAUCCAGCAAUGCCGCGUGCAGGAUGAAGGCCUUCGGGUUGUAAACUGCUUGUGUACGGAACGAAAAGCUCUGGGUUAAUACCCUGGGGUCAUGACGGUACCGUAAGAAUAAGCACCGGCUAACUACGUGCCAGCCGCCGCCGUAA
rnacentral:rRNA from 1 species